AACCAUAAUCCUUAGCAAAUCAACACAGGAACAGAAAACCAAACACCGCAUGCUCUCAGUGAGACCAAUUGAUUGGCAGCAAAAUGAGAACAGCCUGGAAGCAGCCCAGUGAUGAGUUAUACCCAUAGCCAUUUUUCUGUGGAAAAGGCCAAAAGGACAAAUGACAUGAUGGUUGAAAGUAUAAAGCAGCCUCCUGAUAAGCUGUUGUGAUAUUACCAUUUAUUGGGACAACUUCAUCACAGUCUGUCUGUCUGUCAGAGGAUUGACCAAACACUGACUAUCACACCUAUUUUGGUGAGUUUUUCAAUUGUUUCCCUUCCAUAAGAUGCCUUGAGUAAUUUUCAAAUUUGCAAAAAUAGAGAGGUAAGUACAAUACCCAAAGUAACCUACCAAGGUAAGUGAAAGGUAUAAAUUGAAAAACCAAUGUAAUAAACAUUAUAAACAUAAAAGGUACACUGACCUAAAUCAAAACAAGGUAGACAUUUUGUGGAUUGGAUUUCCAUCAAACUCAUUAACAACUUUCUUUAGUUUUUGUUGAAGAAAAUCAUAGAUGUACUCCUAGGGUAUUCUUAUAGUACUACUAAUGUUAUUAAAAUCUUAUGAACGUUACACCAAUUUUGGAAAAGGAGAAGUGAACAAACCUUUGUCUUUCUUAACCUCCUUAAGCUUCAGCUGACUUAUCUGCAAGAUAAAAACAAUACUGCUACCUACCUCAUGGCUUGUUUUAAGGACCGAAAGUAAUAAUGCAAAUAAACCUCCACUUGGUUUGCAUUAAUGCCUUAUAAGUUUUCUGAGCUAGUCAUGAUACUUGUUGCUAUACACACUUUAUUUCUUUUCAUUCUACAAGUGAUGUUUUGAGUAUUAUUUUGGAAUAAGAACUUUUUAUUUUUUUUUACAAGAGAAAAAGAAAGAACUGAAGGUUCUUAACUUCAUACAAUACAAAGUGGUUAAGGUUGGAAUCAUCCUAAGGUCUACAUGGCUUUCAGGCACUUGAUUUUCUUGGGAUCCAAGCCAAAUGUGUAAGCUUUAAAAUGCUUGUUUUAAGUUCAUAGAAUAUUGACUUGGUAAGUCGGCAUGAAGAAAUAAUGUUAUUGGCUUUCAUGUAUAGAAGAGCAAUUAAAAUUUAUUGUGAUUUUGAAAAUUAACUGAGCCCCAAAUGAAUGUUAGUUUUUAAAGUGAUCUUUUUGGGAGGCUGUCUUGAGUACUCCUUCCAUUGUCUAGAGUAUUUUGAGAUUGCCAACUCAAAUAGUGAUCCAGGUAAACUGGUUUGAUUAUUUGAGUCACAUCUCUUAUUUUAUUUUUAAAGAAAAUAUUGUUUUAAUCAAUUUGUUUAUCCACUAUAUUAGCUUCUGGCUCUUUCCAAACAAUAAAAUCAUCCCCCAAAAGAUCAAUACUCUUUGAUCUUAAAUGUAUUAAAAAGAAUAUAUAUAGGCUUGAAAUAUGUCUAGAUGUAUGGGUCCUAAUAUUAUUUUUAAGUAAUUACACACUUUGGAGUACAGCCACGGUGACUUAACAAUAGGAACUUUCUCUGAGAAAUGUGUCAUUAGACAAUUUCAUCAUUGUGCAAACAUCAUACACUAUACUUACACAACCUACGUGGUAUAGUACACUACAUGCCAAAGCUAUAUGGUAUCGCCUGUUGCUCCUAGGCUACAGGCCUGUAUAACAUGUUACUGUACUGAAUGCUGUCGGCAAUUGUAACACAGUAACAAGUGAGGCAGUUUCUGCUUUCUGCACAUGGCUAGCCAGCUUUCCCAACACUCCAGAUGGAUUAAAGACUUAAACAUAAGACCUAAUACCAUAAAAACCCUAGAAGAAAAUCUAGGCAAAACC